GUGCCAACAUUGCACACACCACGGUGUGACCGUUAGGGUUUUAUUUAGUAAUACAUCGUCGACCCGCGAGGUCGUUCGUGUCGCCAGAAUGCCGGAUUUCAAAUUUAUAUUAUUUAUAUUCCUUUUGGCAGUAAACUACGUUGCUGCGAAUGUGGUUGUCGAGGAUGAGGAUUGGACUAAAAUAUACGAGACAGCUGACAUGAUCUGCGCAUGUACCAUUAAUCAGCUAAAGCAGAAGAAAUGUUCUCUAGAUCUGCCGUUCUACACACCAAUGGAUCCUAUGAAAAACAACAUGGAUCUAUUUUGCGAAGGAUUUAAAAAUAUUAUAGGUAAGAAAACUAAGUCAUCAGUAUCAACAGAUCCAGGCCAUGGUGCAGCGGGCAAUAUUACAGAUGACAAAACUAAGUCAUCAGUAUCAACAGAUCCAGGCCAUGGUGCAGCGGGCAAUAGUACAGAUGACAAAACUAAGUCAUUAGUACCAAUAGAUCCAGGCCAUGGUGCAGCGGGCAAUAGUACAGAUGACAAAACUAAGUCAUUAGUACCAAUAGAUCCAGGCCAUGGUGCAGCGGGCAAUAGUACAGAUGACAAAACUAAGUCAUUAGUACCAAUAGAUCCAGGCCAUGGUGCAGCGGGCAAUAGUACAGAUGACAAAACUAAGUCAUUAGUACCAAUAGAUCCAGGCCAUGGUGCAGCGGGCAAUAGUACAGAUGACAAAACUAAGUCAUUAGUACCAAUAGAUCCAGGCCAUGGUGCAGCGGGCAAUAGUACAGAUGACAAAACUAAGUCAUUAGUACCAAUAGAUCCAGGCCAUGGUGCAGCGGGCAAUAGUACAGAUGACAAAACUAAGUCAUUAGUACCAAUAGAUCCAGGCCAUGGUGCAGCGGGCAAUAGUACAGAUGACAAAACUAAGUCAUUAGUACCAAUAGAUCCAGGCCAUGGUGCAGCGGGCAAUAGUACAGAUGACAAAACUAAGUCAUUAGUACCAAUAGAUCCAGGCCAUGGUGCAGCGGGCAAUAGUACAGAUGACAAAACUAAGUCAUUAGUACCAAUAGAUCCAGGCCAUGGUGCAGCGGGCAAUAGUACAGAUGACAAAACUAAGUCAUCAGUAUCAACAGAUUCAGGCCAUGGUGCAGCGGGCAAUAGUACAGAUGACAAAACUAAGUCAUCAGUAUCAACAGAUCCAGGCCAUGGCGCAGCGGGCAAUAGAACAGAUGACAAAACUAAGUCAUUAGUACCAAUAGAUCCAGGCCAUGGCGCAGCGGGCAAUAGAACAGAUGACAAAACUAAGCCAUCAGUAUCACCAGUUCCAGGCCAUGGUAAAGCACGCAAUGGUACAACCGUCGGAGGAGAAAGUGGAAAAGCAAACCCUUUGACAAAUAGCGAGGAUCCGAACAAGUAUUCGUUGACAACGCUGCUAAUAAUACUGUUUUGUUCUUUUGGUGCCGGGUUGCUCGUUGCUUUUGCGUCUAAAAAGGGAUACGACCACUACAAAACACGAUCAUUUGGGGGUGUCCGCAACCAGGCAUAAGGGGAAAAUAUGUGGUGAAGAAACAGAGAAGAGGGUCCAGUCAUCGUCAAAGUGAUCCCGCCUGAACAGGAUAUACCGAUAUAAAGUAGGCCAUUAUAUAAUUGUAAUUUAGGUAUUUGUAGUUGAAAAUAGAUAUAACGGGUUGUUUAGUUGGUAUCUUAACAAUUUUUCAAUUCAUUCCAGUUACAUACAAUGUACAUACAAUCAUAUCAUACACAAAAUACAAUAAAAGAUAAUUAGAAUUAGUAUAGUUGUUCAGUUUUAUGCAAAAAUUCCAAAAAAAUAUCUUGAACUUACGGUUUGGAUUAUUGGACUCAGUUACACAACAUACAGCAGGGUAUUGUGCGUUAACAUAUUAUUGUUUUGGAAUACCACCCCUCGAUUGAAAGAUAUUCCUUAUGUAUAAUAUUAGACCGAACUUAUUAUUUAUAAGUAUCCUCAACAAUAAGCUUGAUUUGGUGAUUCACAGACUAGCGAGCUGUGAACAAUGAUAAUACUAGUCAGAAAACUUUGAAUUUGGCAUCAAAUUUUCUCACAAAAAAUGUGGAAGAUAAAAUAUAAAGUUGAUUUGGCACUUGAGAUAUGUUCGUCUGUCAUUGUGGUAGAGGUGUAUUACUUAUAGCUUCACUCUGCUGAUGCGGCUGGCCAUCCAAACCACGUGGUUAGUUCUUGAGUCCUGGACGCUAGUAGCUUAAAUAUUAGUAGUAGUUAUUAUUAUUAGAUUUUUUAUUGUUUUUUGUUUUAAAUAUCUAUUUGAAUAUUUAAAAGAAUGUGUAAAUAAAUGGAAUAAAGUCAAUUUAAAUGU